rnacentral:rRNA from 1 species
ACGAAGGGGGCUAGCGUUGUUCGGAAUUACUGGGCGUAAAGCGCACGUAGGCGGAUUGUUAAGUCGGGGGUGAAAUCCCAGGGCUCAACCCUGGAACUGCCUCCGAUACUGGCAUUCUUGAGUCCGAGAGAGGUGAGUGGAAUUCCGAGUGUAGAGGUGAAAUUCGUAGAUAUUCGGAAGAACACCAGUGGCGAAGGCGGCUCACUGGCUCGGAACUGACGCUGAGGUGCGAAAGCGUGGGGAGCAAACAG